rnacentral:rRNA from 1 species
UACGGAGGGUGCAAGCGUUAUCCGGAUUCACUGGGUUUAAAGGGUGCGUAGGAGGGCAGGGAAGUCAGUGGUGAAAUCUCCGGGCUUAACUCGGAAACUGCCGUUGAUACUCUCUGUCUUGAAUCCCGUGGAGGUGAGCGGAAUAUGUCAUGUAGCGGUGAAAUGCUUAGAUAUGACAUAGAACACCAAUUGCGAAGGCAGCUCACUGGACCAUAACUGACGCUGAUGCACGAAAGCUAGGGGAGCAAACAGG